rnacentral:rRNA from 1 species
AGACUUGAUCUCUGGAGUACUGUAACCUAACGGGUUAAGCAAGCCACCUGGGUAGCACAGUCGCAAGACCUGAAACUCAAAGGAAUAGGCGGGGGAACACACAAGCAGUGGAUGAUCUCGAUUAAUUGGACAAUAAGCCAAAAACCUUACCUAGGUUUGACAUGUAUCUCUAAGGUAGUGAAAGCUAUCGAGCGUAGCAAUACGCAAUUUACACAGGUGGUGCAUGGUCGUCGUCAGCUCGUGCCGCAAGGUAUCUAGUUAAGUCUAGAAACGAGCGCAACCCUCAUCUCUAGUUACAGUGUCUAGAGAAACUGCCUUCGCAAGAAGGAGGAAGGAGAGGAUGAUGUCAGAUCCUCAUGCCCCUUAUGCCUAGGGCUUCAUAGAUCAUACAAUGGGAAGUAACAAUGAGAAGCAAAGCCGCGAGGUAGAGCAAAACUCCAAACCUUCCCCAAGUUCAGAUUGUAGGCUGCAACUCGCCUACAUGAAGUCGGAAUUGCUAGUAAUGGUGAAUCAGCAAUGUCACCGUGA